GCGGCACGCUAGGCGGCUUCUUAAGGUCCGAGGGUGAAAUCCCCGCGUUUCAACCCGGGAACUGCGUUCGAAACUGCCAGGCUGGAGUCCUUGUAGAGGCGGGUGGAAUUGCCGGUGUAGCGGUGAAAUGCGUAGAUAUCCGGAAGAACACCAGGUGGCGAAGGCGGCUGGCUGGACCACUACUGACGCUUAAGUGCAAAAGCGUGGGGAGCAAACAGGAUUAGAUACCCUGGUAGUCCA
rnacentral:rRNA from 1 species